CAGUGUCCUGCUUGUGGGUUUCCUCCUGAGUGAUGACGAGGUUGGCUUAGGCCUUCCCUGCUGUCCCCUCGGGGCCACCUGGUUCACCUCCUCCUCUUCCCCUUCUCCCCUUCCUCUGCUCACUGAGUCUUAGGGAUGAGAGGCAGGACUUGGAGCCAAAAUUUGUGGCGGAGACACCUCUGAUCCUCAUGGUGUGUGUGUGUGUGUGUGCCGUGAGGAAAGUCCAUCUUCUUUCUUUUCUUUUUUUUCCCGGGCUUCUUUAUUUGUAUUUGUUGGUACUAGGGGUUGAACUCUGGGGUUACCGCUGAGGUACAUCCUCAGCCCCCCCCACCUGCCUUUUUUGUCUUUUAAUUUUGAGACAAGGUCUCACUAAGUUGCCCAGGCCGACCUUGUAGUUGCAGCCCUCCUGCCUCACCCUCCUGAGUCACUGGGAUUACAGACGUGCAACACCAAGCCGGUGAGACAGUUUCUUUAAAAUGCAGAUUCCUAGACCCAAUCUCAGCCCCACUGAAUCAGAAGCUCUGGGUGUAGAGCCUUGGGAUUUGCAUUUACCACAUGCUCAGCUGAAUUGAUUUUAGCAUACUAAAACGUCAGGACUGCCAGGCUGCGCGGCUCUCCCUCCUUGUGGUAGACUGGCCUUCUUGGGCUUCUCUGUGCCUGGUGGGGUGGUUAUUGCAUAGUCUGCC
rnacentral:lncRNA from 1 species